UUAUUGUUAUCCAUUAUUGUGAUUUUAUAUGAUUGUCAUUUGUAUAGGGAAAAUAAAUUCCUGGCUUUUCUACUUAUAAUACUUUAGUAUUUAUGAGAUAAUAGAGAGUGGGUGGGUUGUUUUUUACACUCAGUUGGUCCUUUUACCUACCAUAAUUCCUGGUUGAAGGACUCGGAAUUACCAGCAGAUAAAUUGGUUUCACAAACCUUUGAAAGAAAAUAACCCAAAGGGGGGCUACUCCUCCAAACUGUUCCAAUGUAACUCCCUGGAGCGGAAUGUUCAUGGACUCCAAGGGCAGUUUACAGGCAGCCAGCUGGGCAGAGCUAAUGGGGCUCAGUGGCAAGGAAGAAAAUAGGCUUUAACCCAAAGAGCAGCAAUGUCUCAGCCUGAAGAAUACUCCCUCACAACAGUCACACCCCCUUCUGUUUCUGAGGGGAAAGGGGGUCUCAAGCUUCCUCCUUGCACAGGCUCAAGGCAUACCAGGGAUAUGCUGCAACCUUUUCUUGCGGACCUAUAAUUGUAAGAAUUGAUUCAGCAUAACAAGUCCUUCCAGAAACUGGGGCCUAUCCAUGCUUCCUGUGUGAGAUGGGUGUUGCAAAAUAUUGACCCGGAAGGAGGAGGGGAUGGGGUCAGAGCUCAGUGGAAAAGCACCCGCUUGGGUCGGCUGGGAAGAACUCCUGCCUGAAAUCUUGGAGAGUGCUGCUAGUUAGGAUAGAAGAUACCAAGCUGGAAGGACCACUGGUCUAUAGGGCUGCCUCCUAGGGGUGAGUAGACAGGUCAAAGCCUGUAGAAACCUUGGUUGCAGAGAAGUGUGAAGGAGCUGUUGUAUAUACUGAGGAAGAGAAACACAAUGCCUUUUCUGCCCUCAGCUGGCCAAUGUCAUCACUUCUACCAAACCUGCAUUACAAGUUGAAGAGAGUUUCAGGAAUGAUUGUUCAGCACCACCUGCUGGAAUAUCCAGGCAGAUGUUCCUGAUUGCCUUCUAGUGUCCAUUCCUUCUGAAUUUAAAUGGGAUCUGUAGUUAUGCUACUUUCCCAUAAAAGGGGGAGGGUUCUCAAACUUGGGUCCCCAGACAUUGUUGGACUACAACUCCCAUCACCCACAGCCCAAAUAGCCACAGGUUAUCUAGGGUUCUCAAACUCAGAUCCCUAGAUAUCGGACAACCUCUGGGGACCCACAUUUGAUAACUCCAGCCAUAAGAGUUUUGUAAGGGCGUUCUUGUAGAAGAGGCAGCUGCAGAACUGAAAAAUCUCCUUUGCUCCAAUGAAAAAGGCAGCCACGAGAGGCAAGAGAGCAAUAAUGUAUUGUGGUUUGGCAUACUAACAAAUAGCAAUGUUUCUUUUUAAAUGGGGGAGUCAUUCCUGUGAAAUCUUUUCUCAGGCUCAUUCACAAGAUUCUGAUUAGGGUAAGUCAAGCAUCCUAGCCUUGUUUGAGAGCUGUGUGUGCUCCUGUUUUGUGACUGUGCAUAGGCGAAACAGCAAGUUCAGAGGGGGAGGACCUGAUCGUCUGAGAGGGAGGAGCUGGCUCGGAGGGUGCUGUCUUACCCAGCACUUUUCCGAGGUAGAAGGAAAUACCAUCCAACCCAGCUGCUCUCUCCCAGAUGAUCAUGCCCCCUCUCCGACCUUGCCCAAGAUUACAGAAUGGGAGGGACACAGCUCCCAAACAAGGAUAGGACGCUAAUAAAAGAACAUCUGGAUGAGUUGAUUGUAUAUUUACAGAUAAAGUCAAAGAGCUGGACUUGGACCAGGGAGAAGCCGCUGAGCCAUGAAGGUCCUGAAGGAAGCUACAUCAGCCCAAGCCUGCGUCACAGGGUGGUGGUGAUAAUAAAAGAAAAAUGACAGUUAGUCGAAAUUCCAGCUCCAGGUCAUAUGAAGAUCAGAAGCAGAAACAAAUAUACACAUUAAAUCUCUGACUUGACCGACUGCCAUAAAAGCCAUGAGAACUAAAAUGUUCAGGUAAUCAGGGCGAUCACAUUUUCUUGAUGAUCCAUCCCACUCACUGAGAGAAACAACUUGCCAUGCAUAGGUGAAGGAACAAGCAAGCAAAACCAUUUCCUGAGAGGGGAUUAGGCCUUUACAAAGCAGGCCUGCUCUAAUUUGAGGACCACCUCAACAUCUCAGAGCAGUCUCCACUUUCAGCUUCAGAGGAACCUGCGCUUCACUUUGGUCACCAUACUACCACAAAGCUUCACUUCCCCUUAGCCAUAAAACUACUUGGAGGGACCAGGCAGGGGGUAGGGGACAACCCAUUUUUCUCUGCCUUUACCCCCCAGCCAUGACAGAGUGGGCCGCCAUCUUCCCUGACGUGACUUUUUAAAUGACAUUUUCCUCUUUCCUUGGAGUCCUGGUAAUGGUGCAGGAGCUCCUGAGGGUUGAAGUCUUUUCUGUGGCUGCAACAAUGGCCACAGCCUCAUAAAAGACUACAACUCCCAGAGGCACCCACACCAUUCCCAAGUUUCUACAGAAAAGAAAAAACAACCUUCGAAAAAACUGGAUUGCUAUGGGUUAUUGUCCACAUUGUGCCUAGAAGCAUUUUGUGGGCUAUGAUGUGUAUUUUGAUGUGAUGGGAGGCAUAUUACCAUUUUUGGUGGACUUUUAAAACAUAAUGGGAGCAUAAGCAAUCUUACUGCAUCCUGGGACCCUUUCUCAUGGAAUCUAUGCAUAUUCCUGUAUUUGUUCGUAUAGGACUGGUAACAACAUCUUUUUAUUUCUUUUUGUCCUUGAC